rnacentral:rRNA from 1 species
ACGAACGCUGGCUGCGUGCUUAACACAUGCAAGUCGAACGAUGAAGGAGAGCUUGCUCUUUGGAUUAGUGGCGAACGGGUGAGUAACACGUGAGCAAUCUGCCCUUGACUCUGGGAUAAGCGUUGGAAACGACGUCUAAUACCGGAUACGACCCUCGGAGGCAUCUCCUGGGGGUGGAAAGAAUUUUGGUCAAGGAUGAGCUCGCGGCCUAUCAGCUUGUUGGUGAGGUAAUGGCUCACCAAGGCGACGACGGGUAGCCG